AAAAUAAAUUUAACAGAAGCUAACAUGUACGUGUAAAAUUCUUAUAUUUUAGCAUUGACUCGUUCUGCAUUCAUCGCAAGAAAAUCUGACCAUGCAAACCCAAACUGGGUAAAGGUUGGACUGACUUUUGGCACCACUGCAGCUCUGUGGAUCCUACUCUUCAAGCAACAUAAUGAUGAUGUAAUAGAAUAUGAAAGGAGAAGAGGAGAGAGAGAGAAACAUGAUGCAUGCACAGGAUGUUCAUAAUUGAAGAUAUUAUCUAAGAAGUGACUGAGUGAUAGUUAUAAUCCACAAGGAAAUGAUCAACAGGGUAUCAGAAAAUAUCUGGAUAUUUAUCUGUUCCCAAUGUUUUGUAUAGUGUGCUGUGAAAUAAACAGUAAUGAAUAUGUAA